rnacentral:rRNA from 1 species
AACGAACGCUGGCGGCAUGCCUAACACAUGCAAGUCGAACGAGACCUUCGGGUCUAGUGGCGCUGGGGUGCGUAACGCCUGGUAACCUACCCUUAGGUACGGAAUAACUCACUGUAAGGGAUGCUAAUACAGGAUAAUCUAAUCGCACCAAAGAUUUAUCGCCUUUGGAUGGGGGCGCGUUGGAUUAGCCGGUUGGUAGGGUAAAAGCCUGCCAUGGCGACGAUCCAUAGCUGGUCUGAUAGGAUGAUCAGCCGGACUGGCACUGAGACACGGCCCAGACUCCUACGGGAGGCAGCAGUAGGGAAUAUAGUACAAUGGGCGAAAGCCUGAUCCAGCAAUGCCGCGCGAGUGAUGAAGGCCUUAGGGUUGUAAAGCUGUUUUACACGGGAUGAUAAUGACAGUACCGAGAGAAUAAGCUCCGGCUAACUCCGUG